UACGGAGGGUGCAAGCGUUAUCCGGAUUCACUGGGUUUAAAGGGUGCGUAGGAGGGCAGGUAAGUCAGUGGUGAAAUCUCCAAGCUUAACUUGGAAACUGCCGUUGAUACUAUCUGUCUUGAAUACCGUGGAGAUGAGCGGAAUAUGUCAUGUAGCGGUGAAAUGCUUAGAUAUGACAUAGAACACCAAUUGCGAAGGCAGCUCGUUACACGAAGAUUGACUCUGAGGCACGAAAGCGUGGGGAUCAAACAGG
rnacentral:rRNA from 1 species